CGGCACUUCCGGGUUGGCCUUCUCCAUGUUGGUCUCGGGAACGUGAAGGGGCGGGGCCUCGAGGUCAGGGGUCAGCGCCUCCCUGGUUGCCGUGGCGACUGGAGCACGCGACGCGGGCGCGAUGGCGGGGACUCUAGGCCCGGGACUUGAUGCUGCUUGGGCCUGGCCCAGUGGCGGGUCCUGGGGACGUGGCAGAGGCCGGCAGACUCUCAGAAGGUGAUGGAUGGGAUAUUCUGAAAGUUGGAAGGCAGGCUUUGAGCCACAGAGAGCCACUGCAACAUUUGAAGAUUCUGGUGAUGAUGCUGACUGCCUGGCCACCUAAGAGGAAGAAAGGUUUGCCAACCCUUCUCUCAUGCUCACCGUCCAUCUUCCAUCACCUUUCCCCCUUUUAAUGCCCUUUCCCUGCUUUUUUUAUCCAAU
rnacentral:lncRNA from 1 species